GGGGGCAUAGCUGAGUGGUAGAGCAGCAUCCGAAUGCAGAUCGGAUUGUCCCCGAUUCAAUCCCGGUUGUCCCCU
rnacentral:tRNA from 1 species